ensembl:snRNA U2 U2 spliceosomal RNA
AUUGUUUGGUUAUUGAAUGUAAUAAAUAUAUUUUGUAAUCUGUUCUUAUCAGUUUAAUAUCUGAUACGUCCCCCAUCGGGGGACUACAUAUUAAAUGGAUUUUUCGAACAGGGAGUCGGAAAUGGGGCUUGCUCCGUCCGCUCCACGCAUCGACCCGGUAUUGCAGUACCUCCGGGAACGGUGCAACACUU